rnacentral:ncRNA from 1 species
CUUGACAUGCCGCGAAUCCUCUUGAAAGAGAGGGGUGCCCUCAGGAACACGGACACAGGUGGUGCAUGGAUGUCGUCAUCUCGUGUCGUAAGGUGUUGGGUUAAGUCUCGCAACGAGCGCAAUCCUCGUGUUUAGUUGCCACUAUGAGUUUGGAACCCUGAACAGACCGCCAGUGUUACAGGAAUGAAAUAGAAAAUAAUGAAUAAAAAUAUAAAAG